UACGGAGGGUGCGAGCGUUGUCCGGAAUCACUGGGCGUAAAGGGCGCGUAGGCGGUCUGUUAAGCGUGUGGUGAAAGCUCGGGGCUCAACCCCGAGUCUGCCAUGCGAACUGGUGGACUUGAGCACUGUAGAGGCAGGUGGAAUUCCGGGUGUUGCGGUGGAAUGCGUAGAGAUCCGGAAGAACACCGGUGGCGAAGGCGGCCUGCUGGGCAGUUGCUGACGCUGAGGCGCGACAGCGUGGGGAGCAAACAGG
rnacentral:rRNA from 1 species